UUAGUUAUCUCUCAAUUACUUCAGAAAAAUUCUUUUGCAUUUGAUUUCUUCUUCACAGUUGAAUGGCCGUAUUACAGGGUUUCUGGAUUCUUUCUCUUUCUCUGCCGUAGCGACGUUGGUGUGGGCAUAAGUUACACCACCAACCGUCUCGCAAAAUCCAUAAAGCAUAUACAGAGAAGAAUGAGAGGGUUUUCUGGUGGCCAACUUCAUCUUGCACAUGAUGAGCCACCUUCCCGUUCAAGGUGAGAGUGGGAACAGUGAAAAUGGGGAAUGCAAAACAUUAUUAAGGAGCAGAGGAAUGAAAAAAAAACAUCCAUACUUGGGUUUUGUUGGCGUGAUAAUGCUAACAUUUAUAGUCAGGUAAUCAUCCAUUUCAUUUUAUGAUGAUUAAGUUGAGAAAUUUAGAAAGAAAUAUAGUGGUCUUGGUGGACUUAAUACGCUGGUGGAAUUCUUCUUUAUUUUACAGAAACCAUUACAAAUUUCGGACACCAAUAAACUGAUAACACGUGCAGAUUUUGUUUGUGAGGUCUCCCAGGCUCCAUUGGAGACUCGGGUUGUAUAUCGUGUUGUUGUACAAAGAAGGGUAACUUUCAGUCUGAAGUUCUCUUUAGUCCCUCUUAACAUCCUUUAUUUCCCAGGAUUUUGUUCAUAUGGUUAGUUGUUGUAAAUGUAACUGAGUUUCGCAAAUCAAUUACUCAAUUACGUACCUGCAGAAUCACAGACUUUGGGUGUACUCUUCAAUGUACUCAAGCCAGCACAGAAAUUCUUCAAAAAUAAUAUCCACAAAAUGCACACCGAACUACUUACUGUGCCCGAAGGAAUUUAUGUAGGUCCGCGUCAUUGAAAAUAUACUUAAAUGAUGCUUCAAGGAGGGCACUCCUAGCAUAACUUAAAAUGUACCACACCCUGGGAAGUUUUUAGUCGAAAAUUGCACUCAUUGAAGACGACGUGACGAAAUAAUAAAGAAGAUGCCACUAAAAGAAUUGCUUAUAGAAUCUUCCCUAAAUAUAUGGUUGAUUUUAGAAUCAUUGAAAUUCUUCAUACAUUUAACUUUUAUACCGUUUCAAAUUUUACUGUUUAGUACUUAAUCUCUUGCUUUCCCUUAAUUUUGUUGUUGUUGAGUUGAAGUGUUUUUAUUUGACCUUUAUUUUUUUCCAUUUUUCUCUUUUGUCGUAUUCUCUUUCGGUUUAUAAUUGGAUGCAUUAAUGCUCUAUUAUAUUUGAAGAAAGCAGUAAGGAAAAACAUGUUGCCCAAAGGAAAAAACUUUAACUUUCUUAGUUUUCAAUGAAACGUAGCGUAAUUUUGAUGGUACAGUGCGCUUUGGGCUAAUGACCUUUUGGACUGCUUCCUAUAGUAUUUAAAUUUUUGUUCAUUGCAGGUUGAAAUGGAGGUCAUCGUUAGUACCGGAUCAGGCAUAUUUAAAGAAAACGAUUUUCCAGUAAACAAAAUGAGAUACAUAUUCUUGGAAUUACUGUGAUGAGCCAUACUUACUAAUCGUCCUAUCACAUAACACCUCAAUGUUGCUAAUUUGACAUUGCCGCUUCAUUGGUGUAUUCUGGCUGAGUACUAGACCAAAGAUUGAAAUAAGGUUUUGCAUUUGGCAGGGAUGUGGUACGACGAACUCAUGAUCAGAUAAAUGGCAUGUGCUAACCGAGCCUUCUCUCACGUCGGCUCUGUCUCUCCCUUUUGCCUGUUUCGUUUGAUGUUGGUCUUUUUCAUGCCACUCAUCGUAUCCCUAUUUUGAAAGCGUCGAGGCAAGUUCUUACAGCUCCUUACAUUGAAACUAGAAAGUUUAAAGCAAGCGAGGCUCUUGGUAAAUAGUGAGAUAUUAUUGCGAAGACAUUUGCUUUUUUUUAUUGAUACUAGAUUUUGUGCCCGUGCUAUGUUCUGGAUGGACCCGAAAACCAUCAU